rnacentral:rRNA from 1 species
UACGUAGGGUGCGAGCGUUGUCCGGAAUUAUUGGGCGUAAAGGGCUCGUAGGCGGUUUGUCGCGUCGGGAGUGAAAUCCACUGGCUUAACUGGUGGCUUGCUUUCGAUACGGGCAGACUAGAGGUAUGCAGGGGAGAACGGAAUUCCUGGUGUAGCGGUGAAAUGCGCAGAUAUCAGGAGGAACACCGGUGGCGAAGGCGGUUCUCUGGGCAUGAUCUGACGCUGAGGAGCGAAAGUGUGGGGAGCGAACAGG